ensembl:snoRNA
GAUCUAUGAUGAAAAUAGCCAAAUCUGAGCAUCAGCAGACCUUCCAUUCUGCUUUGAUGCAUGAUUGCUAUCGUUCUGAGA